rnacentral:lncRNA from 1 species
CUCACCCAAAGGAAGGAAAUUUCAAAGAGCUCUCCUGUAUGAGAGAGACCACACUCAUUCUUUAGCUCCAUAGAAUGAAAACAAACAAGAUAGUUGUCAUGGUCAGGGGGGAAGGGGGUCCUAGGAAGAGUCAUCCCCAGCAAGCCUGCUCUCCUUUCCCACAAAUUGAAGAGAAAGAGACUGAGGUCCCUGGGGGAGAAAAUUCUGCCUUUACACUGUCUUUGGACUCUAACUACAAUAUCACCUCUUCCCUAAGUCUCCAACCUGCUGGCCUGUCCUGUAGAUUUCAGACUUGCCAGCCCCAAGAAUUGCAUGAGCCAAUUCCUGAAUAUAAAUCUGCACACAUACAUUCUAUUGGUUCUGUUCCUCUGGAGAAUCCUGACUAUUAAUAAUAUAGAAGUUCAUAGUCUAGUGAGCUGCUGUUUACCACUUCUUUUCAUCAUGUUAAAUCAUGUUGGAUAUGAAGGCAAAUGAAGCAAUGGGUGAUUCUUCCCCCCAGACUUGUAAGCAAGAUUUUGUGUAUCUGUGCUGUGUGGAUUUUUCUAAGAAAAGUGUCAAAGCAUUUUGAAACUCCACAAAAUUCAAGGAAUAUAAAAUUUCCUAGUCUUGAACAGCCCUUCUAGCUCUGGUAUUCUGUAAUUCUGUGGGACGUAAAGUAUUUCUGUGGUUUGUUUUGCUCUUCUUGGCCAAGGACCUAGAAAGUUUUGGUGUUCAUUCCAAAUAGAACCAUUGAGGAAAAACAUAAUGAGCCCCAAAUCCAGAAUGUGAUGUUUGUGGGUCUAAAUUCUAUCUUGGCCAUUUGCUAGCUCAAUGAUCCAGGGCAUGUCACCUCUCUGAGCCUCAAUUUUCUCAUCUGUAGAAUGGAAAUAAUACUACUACUCCACAGUUGCUGUGAAUCUUAAAUGAGAUGGCAAAUGUGACUUUGGCCAGCAAAGGGUCUGACCAACAAAGGCAUCAGUAAAUGUUAAUUUACUCAUUUAUGCAUACAGAUACCUGCAAGUCUUGGGGAACUACCAACCUCAGCUUGCAGCUCUUCAGCACAAGCCCUCCAGGGUCAAGCUGCUGUCCUCUCAGUCAUAGACACCCUUGCACCCUGACUGGGUUUGAUCCCAAAACCAUAAAGAAAAAAACAUAAUCCAUAUGCUCUUUUAAAUAUAAAAUAAAUACUUUCUUCUUGUAGAGGCAGCCUCACUUUUCUUGUCUGUCAAUUGGAGAUAAUCACACUUCCCCUAAAGAAUUGUCACAAUGCCAGGAUGCAAGGUUCUUACAAAUGCCUGUGUCUGUCCUUCCUCAAAUCCAGAAGGCAGAGAGCAAGUGGCAGCUUGGAGCCUGAUACCUACAGAGACUGGAUUGUGCCUGACAGCUUUCUGGUUCCCAGGCCCUGUUUGUCCCUAUAUAAGACAAGGUUGAUAAAACUAGGCACCUCAGUAGCUGAGCUCAAUGGCUCAUGACUGUAACCCCAGCAAUCUGGGAGGCUGAAGCAGAAGGACUGCUUGAGCCCAGGAGUUCGAGAUUAGCCUGGGCAACAUAGAAAGACCCUGUCUCUAAAAAAAUUUUUUCAAUACAAAAUAAAUUAGCUGAAUGUGGUGUUGCACAUCUGAAGUCCCAGCUACUUGAGAGACUGAGGCAGGAGGAUCCAUUGAGCCCAGGAGUUACAGGCUCCCGUGAGCUAUGGUCACACCACUGUACUCUACCCUGGGAAACAGAGACACUAUCUCUAAAAUACAAACAAACAAACAAAUCUAGGCAUCUCAGAGUUUGCAAGGAUUUAAUGAGACAAGUCAUUCAAGGCUUAGGCCCCCAUCUAAUGCAGUUAUAAGCAGGGAUUAUUAUUAUUAUUAUUAUCCUAUGUUUUGCAGGGAAAUGUGGGCACUAAAUUGCUCAAAGUUCUUGCUAUGAAUUUAUCUUUUGCCUAAUCUCUUAUGAAUUGACAUUCUCUUACCUGCCACCAAGAAAGUCCUGGCAAAUGCCUUUUGAAAACAUACUUCUCACUCUACAUCUUAUUUUUUUUGUUUGUUUUUGUUUUUGUGGGGUUUUUUGUUUCUUUUUUUUGAAGAUAAGGUCUCCCUAUGUUACCCAGGCUGGUGUCAAAUUCCUGGGCUCAAACAAUCUUCCCAUCUUGGCCUCUCAAAGUGCUGAAAUUACAGGUGUGAGGCCCUAUGCCGGGCCUUCACUUUACAUCUUGGAUUAUGGAGCUGGGCAGGCAAUUAGGUCUCAUCUCCAGUUCCAGAUGGAAUAUUUGUGAUCCAAGAGGUGAAGCCACUGCUGGGUGAGGCAUGGCUAGGAGGCAGUGGAAGAGUCAGCCCUGCCCAGUUGUUUCUGCUUCAUCUUGCUGACAGCAUGAGAGUCAGCAGCAGCAAAGAAACUUGGCAAGAGCUGCUUGGUCAGGGGGUCACAGAGCAGGAGAAGGCAUGGGAAUUCUAUCCUUAAUUGUAUCCUGUUUGACUUGGCCCUCCCUAUGGCGGGCAAAGCCAAACUGCCAGCAGAGCUCUUGCCCCUUGGUGGACAUCAGGAAUUUUGACUUCUAAUUCUGGCUGAUUACUUUGGAGAAGUUGCCUAGCCUCUCUCUUCCCAUCUUCCCAUUAAUAAGUCUGGGAUAAUAAUAGCUUCCUCUCUUUGGGGGACAUUUCAAUGGCUUUUUUUAAAAACAAGGUUACAUCAUUUGUUCUCCUUAAUUUGUUGUGUUUGGAUAGGCAAGGAAUGGUUUGAAGCCAGCAGCCAGUAAUCGCUAAUAACACUGACAAUUUGUAAAAAAAAUGAACAGCUAAAUGCAUUUCAAGACUGGAUCUCUAUUUCUUACUGAAACAGUCCCCUGGAAGUGGGUUUAGCCUAUGUUCAGUUAUGAUAUGGCUGUGGUAGAAGUUGAACUUGAAUAGAAAGAGCCCCUUGAAUGGAGAGUUAGAAAUCGCCCAGGUGAGGCUGGGAGACCUUGGUGAGGUCAUUUUAUCAAUCUGAGUCUCCAUUUCUUCCAUUAUAAAUCAAGAAAGUUAUACUGAUAGACUUUAGGGUCUUCCUCAGUGAUACUGCUCAGACUUUCCUGUAAUAAUCAUUUAAUGAAAGGAAUUCUUAGUAGCUCUGGCCCCUCUGAACCCACACUCUUUCCAGUCAUCCUCCAGGCAGCUACCAGCACAAAUCUCAUCAUGUCACUCCCUGGUGGAACUUCUUCUGAUGGCAGAGAAAGAAACAUGAGAAUCAUUGUGUAUCCAUGCAAAGGUAUAGCAUGCAGCUAUUUAAAAUGAUAUAGAAAACAGAGCUUUCAACAAUAUGAAAAUAAAGAGUUUAUAUUUGGUGACGAAGUCAGAAUACAAAAUCAUGCACUAGUAUCUCAAUGGUUGAAAAUGCUAAAGACAACGGCUAGAAGGAGAUAUCACAAGAUGUUAAUGGUGGUUCAUUGACUCGACCUACUAAGCGCAAAAGCUAGGACUUGAACCUGGGUCCCGGUUUAGAGAGGAUGUGGGUGAGUUGUUCGAGAAUUUGCAUGUGAUAGUAAGUGCCCAAAUGUCCUGAAAAGUUCAAAGGCAAAGGAGUAUUAGAAUUGCGACAUGGGCCUAGAGAACCUAUUUAGAGAAGUCACCUCUACUUUGUGUCCAUGUACUUUGCCAUGGACUUUAAUAGUUA